UGGCCGCAGUAUUUUGACUGUGCAAAGGUAGCAUAAUUAUUAGUUUUUUAAUUGAAAGCUUGUAUGAAGGGUUGGACGAGAUAAAAUCUGUCUUUAUUUAAAUUACAAUAGAAUUUAACUUUUAAGUCAAAAGGCUUAAAUGUAUAUAAAAGACGAGAAGACCCUAUAGAUCUUUAUUUAAUUAAUAUUUUGAUAAUUUAAGAUUAUUUUAGUUUAAAGUUUUAAUUAAAUUUUAUUGGGGUAAUAUAGAGAUUAAAUAAAUUCUUUUUAUUUAUUACAUUGAUUUAUGAAUAUAUGAUCCAAUAUUAUUGAUUAUAAGAUUAAGUUACCUUAGGGAUAACAGCGUAAUUUUUUUGGAGAGCUCAUAUCGAUAAAAAAGUUUGCGACCUCGAUGUUGGAUUAAAAAUUAGCUUGGGUGCAGAAGCUCAAGAUUUUGGUCUGUUCGACCAUUAAAUUUUUACAUGAUCUGAGUUCAGACCGGCGUAAGCCAGGUCGGUUUCUAUCUUUAUUUAUCUAAAAUAUUUUAGUACGAAAGGACCAAAUAUUUAAUAUAAUUAUAUUUCUUUUUUGAAUAAUAUU
rnacentral:rRNA from 1 species